rnacentral:rRNA from 1 species
UGGGGAAUAUUGGACAAUGGGCGCAAGCCUGAUCCAGCAAUGCCGCGUGUGUGAAGAAGGCCUUCGGGUUGUAAAGCACUUUUAUCAGGAGCGAAACGCUGUCGGCUAAUACCCGGCGGAACUGACGGUACCUGAGGAAUAAGCACCGGCUAACUUCGUGCCAGCAGCCGCGGUAAUACGAAGGGUGCAAGCGUUAAUCGGAAUUACUGGGCGUAAAGCGUGCGUAGGCGGUUUCUUAGGUCUGCUGUGAAAUCCCCGGGCUCAACCUGGGAAUGGCAGUGGAUACUGGGAGGCUAGAGUGUGUCAGAGGGUGGUGGAAUUCCCGGUGUAGCGGUGAAAUGCGUAGAGAUCGGGAGGAACAUCAGUGGCGAAGGCGGCCACCUGGGACAACACUGACGCUGAGGCACGAAAGCGUGGGGAGCAAACAGGAUUAGAUACCCUGGUAGUCCACGCCCUAAAGCGAUGCGAACUGGAUGUUGGUCUCAACUCGGAGAUCAGUGUCGAAGCUAACGCGUUAAGUUCGCCGCCUGGGGAGUACGGUCGCAAGACUGAAACUCAAAGG